rnacentral:misc_RNA from 1 species
UAUAUUAAAUGUAUUUUAUUUAUUAAUAUUAAAACUGGAAGAAACCUCAACAACUAGUAAAAGAUAAAAUUGUGCUUGGAUAUUACAAUUUUUAUUAUUUUUCAUUAUAAAUAGCAUUUACACAUUUUUUAUUUGCGUUUUAAUAAUACAGUUCUAUAAACUUCACUAUGAUAUUGCAAAUACAAAAAUUACCUUCGAUUCUCUUCAGCCUUCCUUUUUUGACGUUUCAAGGUAAGUAAUAAUACUAAUUAUGACUAGAAUAUUUAGUGAUAGUAUAUAUUAGUAAUAUUUAGUGAUAGAUAUUUAGUGAUUAAACGACCCAAACGAUAUAAAUAAAGCUUUACUUCUUUAAAUAAAAAUAAUAAUAAUUGGACGGAACUUCUUAUAACGCCUUACAUUUACUAUCCAAAUUUUCUGUUACAAAAAUUCUAACAAGUCUUACAGUGUGCCGUCAAUUUUAAAAAAACUAUUAAAGUUAUAAGCGUUUUAUAUUUUGUGCACGUCACUUAUUUAAAUUUGUACUUAAUCUAUUAAAUAAAAUUCUCGUGUCGCGGUGUUUGUAGUUAAACUCCUCCGAAUCGGCUUGACCGAUUCUCAAGAAAUCUUGUGUGCAUGUUGGGUAGGCUUGAGAAUCGAACAACAUCUAUUUUUCAUACCCCUAAGUUAUAA